GAUGAACGCCGGCGGCGUGCCUAAUACAUGCAAGUCGAGCGGACAGAUAAGGAGCUUGCUCCUUUGACGUUAGCGGCGGACGGGUGAGUAACACGUGGGUAACCUACCUAUAAGACUGGGAUAACUUCGGGAAACCGGAGCUAAUACCGGAUAAUAUUUCGAACCGCAUGGUUCGAUAGUGAAAGAUGGUUUUGCUAUCACUUAUAGAUGGACCCGCGCCGUAUUAGCUAGUUGGUAAGGUAACGGCUUACCAAGGCGACGAUACGUAGCCGACCUGAGAGGGUGAUCGGCCACACUGGAACUGAGACACGGUCCAGACUCCUACGGGAGGCAGCAGUAGGGAAUCUUCCGCAAUGGGCGAAAGCCUGACGGAGCAACGCCGCGUGAGUGAUGAAGGUCUUCGGAUCGUAAAACUCUGUUAUUAGGGAAGAACAUACGUGUAAGUAACUGUGCACGUCUUGACGGUACCUAAUCAGAAAGCCACGGCUAACUACGUG
rnacentral:rRNA from 1 species